UUACGGCCAUAUCACAUUGAAACAUUGGUUCUCGUACGAUCACCGAAGUUAAGCAACGUCGAGUCUGGUUAGAACCUAAAUGGGUGACCACUUGGGAAUACAAAGUGCUGUAAG
rnacentral:rRNA from 1 species